rnacentral:ncRNA from 1 species
GCCAGAAGAGGCGCGUCGCCCAGGCAGUGUGUUGGAGGAACCGUAUCCGGCGAAAACACAUGAUGGGGAGCGACGCCGAGGUGGGUCAGCACGCGGUGUGUUGCCUGUCGGCUACAGGGGCUGAAUCCUCUGGGUUGUCACCAGAAACGUGCAGUCGACGUUUCGCAAGGUGGGGCGCUUCUGGGUG